CCUACGGGUGGCAGCAGUGAGGAAUAUUGGUCAAUGGACGAGAGUCUGAACCAGCCAAGUAGCGUGAAGGAUGACUGCCCUAUGGGUUGUAAACUGCUUUUAUAAAGGAAUAAAACGAGGCACGUGUGCCUUUUUGCAUGUACUUUAUGAAUAAGGAUCGGCUAACUCCGUGCCAGCAGCCGCGGUAAUACGGAGGAUCCGAGCGUUAUCCGGAUUUAUUGGGUUUAAAGGGAGCGUAGAUGGGUUGAUAAGUCAGUUGUGAAAGUUUGCGGCUCAACCGUAAAAUUGCAAUUGAUACUGGAAGUCUUGAGUACAGUUGAGGUAGGCGGAAUUCGUGGUGUAGCGGUGAAAUGCUUAGAUAUCACGAAGAACCCCGAUUGCGAAGGCAGCUUACUAAACUGUGACUGACAUUGAUGCUCGAAAGUGUGGGUAUCAAACAGGAUUAGAUACCCUUGUAGUC
rnacentral:rRNA from 1 species